rnacentral:rRNA from 1 species
UGGGGAAUCUUGCACAAUGGGGGAAACCCUGAUGCAGCGACGCCGCGUGAGCGAUGAAGGUUUUCGAAUCGUAAAGCUCUGUCCUAUGGGAAGAUAAUGACGGUACCAUAGGAGGAAGCCCCGGCUAACUACGUGCCAGCAGCCGCGGUAAUACGUAGGGGGCGAGCGUUGUCCGGAAUUACUGGGCGUAAAGGGUUCGCAGGCGGCAUGACAAGUCCGAUGUAAAAGGCGAAAGCUCAACUUUCGUAAGCAUCGGAAACUGUCAAGCUUGAGUGAAGGAGAGGCAAGUGGAAUUCCUAGUGUAGCGGUGGAAUGCAUAGAUAUUAGGAGGAAUACCGGUGGCGAAGGCGACUUGCUGGACUUCAACUGACGCUGAGGAACGAAAGCGUGGGUAGCAAACAGG